rnacentral:rRNA from 1 species
AUUGAGCGAGAGUUUGAUCCUGGCUCAGGACGAACGCUGGCGGCGUGCCUAACGCAUGCAAGUCGGACGGGCAGGGCCUUUGGGA